GGUUAAGGAAGAAAGAGCAUAUGGUGAAUGCCUAGACACUUGGAGACGAAGAAGGACGUAGGAACCUGCGAAAAGCCUCGGUUAGAGGGUAACCACUCAAACCCGGGGAUGUCCGAAUGGGGGAACCCACCUAUACAAGUAUAGGUAUCUAUAUAUAAAUACAUAGUAUAUAGAGGUUAGACCUAGGGAACUGAAACAUCUAAGUACCUAGAGGAAAAGAAAACAAAAGUGAUUCCCUAAGUAGCGGCGAGCGAACGGGGAAAAGCCCAAACCCAACUUAGGUUGGGGGUAGUAGGACCACAAAAAGGAAAGCGAAUUAUAGUUGAAUACUUUGGAAAGAGUAGCCGAAGAAGAGUGAAAGCCUCGUAGACGAAAUAAUUCAAUGGACUAGUGGAAUCCUGAGUACGGCGGGACACGAGAAAUCCUGUUGGAAUCAGCCAGGACCAUCUGGCAAGGCUAAAUACUACCAAGUGAUCGAUAGUGAACAAGUACCGUGAGGGAAAGGUGAAAAGAACCCCGGGAGGGGUAGUGAAAGAGAGCCUGAAACCAUACGCUUACAAAAAGUUAGAGCCCGUUAAAGGGUGAUAGCGUGCCUUUUGUAGAAUGAACCGGCGAGUUAUGAUUGCAUGCAAGGUUAAAUAGAAGAUAUGGAGCCGUAGCGAAAGCGAGUCUUAAUAGGGCGCAAGUAUGUAGUUAUAGACCCGAAACCAGGUGAUCUAGCCAUGGCCAGGUUGAAGUUUAGGUAACACUGAAUGGAGGACCGAACCUACGCACGUUGAAAAGUGCGAGGAUGAGCUGUGGUUAGGGGUGAAAUUCCAAUCGAACCUGGAGAUAGCUGGUUCUCCCCGAAAUAGCUUUAGGGCUAGCCUUGAUCAAGAGUCUAUUGGAGGUAGAGCACUGAAUGUAUGAUGGCCCCAUCCUGGGGUACUGAGUAUAAUCAAACUCCGAAUGCCAAUAGAUACGAUCAGGAGUCAGACUAUGGGUGAUAAGGUCCAUAGUCAAAAGGGAAACAGCCCAGAUCACCAGCUAAGGUCCCAAAGUAUAUGCUAAGUGGAAAAGGAUGUGUAGUUGCACAGACAGCUAGGAGGUUGGCUUAGAAGCAGCCAUCCUUCAAAGAGUGCGUAACAGCUCACUAGUCGAGUGACUAUGCGCCGAAAAUUUACCGGGGCUAAGCAUAACACCGAAGCUGUGGACAGGAUAACUGUGGUAGGGGAGCGUUCUAAUAUGGAAGAAGCCAUACCGUGAGGAGUGAGUGGACGUAUUAGAAGUGAGAAUGCCGGUGUGAGUAGCGAAUAAGGGUGAGAAUCCCUUACACCGAUUGACUAAGGAUUCCUGGGGAAGGCUCGUCCGCCCAGGGUAAGUCGGGACCUAAGGCGAGGCUGAGAAGCGUAGUCGAUGGACAGCAGGUAGAUAUUCCUGCACCGAUCAAAUGAAAUCGUGAUGGAGUGACAAAGAAGGUUAAAAUGAGCUAUCGAGAUGGAUGAUAGUUGGGUUAUGAAUAGCAGCUAUGUAGGCAAAUCCGCAUAGGGAAUGUAAGAUAACCUGGGAAGAGAGGCAUAAAGCCGAUCGAAGCAUUGAUACCAGCUUUCAAGAAAAGCUUCUAGCGUCAAGAGAUUGCCCGUACCGAGAACGAACACACGUAGUCAAGGAGAGAAUCCUAAGGUGAGCAAGAGAACCAUUGUUAAGGAACUCGGCAAAAUGACCCCGUAACUUAGGGAAAAGGGGUGCUUAUAGCAAUAUGAGCCGCAGCGAAUAGGCCCAAGCGACUGUUUAGCAAAAACAUAGCUCUCUGCAAAGUCGUAAGACGAAGUAUAGGGGGUGACGCCUGCCCGGUGCUGGAAGGUUAAGAGGAAAUGUUAGGAAACGAAGCAUAGAAUUGAAGCCCCAGUAAACGGCGGCCGUAACUAUAACGGUCCUAAGGUAGCGAAAUUCCUUGUCGGGUAAGUUCCGACCCGCACGAAAGGCGUAACGAUUUGGGCACUGUCUCAACAAUGGACUUGGUGAAAUCUUAGUACCUGUGAAGAUGCAGGUUACCCGCGACAAGACGGAAAGACCCCAUGGAGCUUUACUGUAGCUUGAUAUUGGGAUUCGAUGUAUUAUGUACAGGAUAGGUGGGAGCAAGCGAGAUACAUACGCCAGUGUGUAUUGAUGCGCUGUUGGGAUACCACCCUUAAUAUAUUGACUCUCUAACUAGGAAGUGUAAGCCACUUAUAGGACAGUGUCUGGUGGACAGUUUGACUGGGGCGGUCGCCUCCUAAAGAGUAACGGAGGCGCCCAAAGGUACCCUCAGCAUGGAUGGAAAUCAUGCAAAGAGUGCAAUGGCAAAAGGGUGCUUGACUGCGAGAGCAACAACUCGAGCAGGGACGAAAGUCGGGCAUAGUGAUCCGGCGGUGCUGAAUGGAAAGGCCGUCGCUCAACGGAUAAAAGCUACCCUGGGGAUAACAGGCUGAUCUUGCCCAAGAGUUCACAUCGACGGCAAGGUUUGGCACCUCGAUGUCGGCUCAUCGCAUCCUGGGGCUGAAUUCGGUCCCAAGGGUUGGGCUGUUCGCCCAUUAAAGCGGUACGCGAGCUGGGUUCAGAACGUCGUGAGACAGUUCGGUCCCUAUCUGUCGUGGGCGUAGGAGAUUUGAGAAGAGCUGUCCUUAGUACGAGAGGACCGGGAUGGACCUACCACUGGUGUACCAGUUGUCACGCCGUGUGGCAUGGCUGGAAAGCUAAGUAGGGAAAGGAUAACCGCUGAAGGCAUCUAAGCGGGAAGCCUACUUCAAGAUGAGAUCUCCCAGCAAUAAGACCCCUUGAAGACCACAAGGUUGAUAGGACACAAGUGUAAGUGCAGUAAUGUAUUAAGCGAGGUGUUACUAAUAGGUCGAGGACUUAACCUU
rnacentral:rRNA from 1 species